AAGUCGUAACAAGGUUUCCGUAGGUGAACCUGCGGAAGGAUCAUUACCGAGUUAGGGUCCUUUUAUAGGCCCGAUCUCCAACCCUUGUGUUAACUAAACCACGUUGCUUCGGCGAGCCUGUCUUCGGACUGCCGGGAGCUCACUCUUGACUCCGGGCUCGUUGCUCGUCGGUAGCCCCCCUCUUAAACUCUUGAUGUAACCAUGUCGUCUGAGUACCUAAAUUUAAUGAUAAAUUAAAACUUUCAACAACGGAUCUCUUGGUUCUGGCAUCGAUGAAGAACGCAGCGAAAUGCGAUAAGUAAUGCGAAUUGCAGAAUUUCAGUGAGUCAUCGAAUCUUUGAACGCACAUUGCGCCCUUUGGCAUUCCGAAGGGCAUGCCUGUUCGAGCGUCAUUAUCACCCCUCAAGCCUGGCUUGGUGUUGGAUCUCGGGUCUGUGACAGGACCGGUCCCAAAGACAAUGACGGUGUCCGUUGGACCCUCGACACACUGAGCUUUUCACCGAGCACGUGUCGAGUUGCAAGGUCGACACACACGGUCUCCGCCGGUUGUAUUUCAACCGGCUCCUUUAUUAUCAAGGUUGACCUCGGAUCAGGUAGGAAUACCCGCUGAACUUAA
rnacentral:rRNA from 1 species